AAGCUAAAAAAAAAAACCCUCAUCGCACCGGUGGUGGUUGCGGCGGCGACAUGAACGUCCUCUCACUGUCUCACGCCUUCCAAGAACACUAGGAUCUUCCUCCUUGACGUCCUCCCAGCGGCUACCAUCUAGGGUUAUGGUAUCGGGGGAGGAAAGGGGCUGGGAAGGAGAUAUGUCGUGCCGGUGUCGCCACGGUCUUCUGGUCUUCCACCCCUCCCGUCACUUCCACUUUCCACUCGAAAGGGAGUAUUCUGGUGACUCCGGUGGAUUUAUCACGGGCUCGUGGCUCAGGAACAACAAGGGCAGGGGAGGAGAUACACACAUGACGAAGAUUCUGGAGAAAAACGACUACACCUUCAUAUGUGUGAAUCCAUACAUAACGAAAUAAGGUUGUAGAAGAAUAUCAGGCCUCUACAAUAUCACAUUUUAAAUCAAGGACCACUCUAUUGAAUUUUAUUACAGCUGCGAUGUCAACUCAGCUGAAUCUCUUGUCCACGUGUCUAUGCAGUAUGUCAUUUUUUGUGCACUUGAAACCUGUUCUGUUUGAAUCAACUCGAAUCACCAGCCAUGGUCCUAUUAGCUUGGCUUUUUUCUCCAUUUGUCUUUUGUUUAAAGAGGCGGAAGGUUCUCAGAUGGUUGGGAUUCAUGUGAUCGACGAGCAAAAAGAUGUAACAAGCCAAACCAUGAUAUACCUAGCACAGCUGAAACCAGCGGUAACAACAAAGCUUGUCAGGUAAGGAACAAUCCAUCCCCUGGUUUUCACCUUUGUCUCAUUUACAUAAUGCCCCUUGUUUUGCUGUAGUUUGUGAUCCAAAAGAAGUCCAUUACGACAUGCACAUAUUACUUGGCUCCAAACCAAAAUAUCAGCAUGAUAGAAUGCCGUAAUUAAACCAGGAGACUGGCAAUUGUGUAUGGUUACAAAUCUUUGUGUGAUCUGUACUGAGCCAAGGUUCCUUCACAAUGAUACAAAGUAGAAAUGUUGCAUAAAAGAACAUGCCAUUUUAAUUAUGAAAACUUUACAGCCCCCAAUUGAAAAUGAUACUUUCUCCGAUCCAAAAUAAGUGUCGGUGACUUAUUAGAAACUCUAUACUAAAUUAGUACAAAAUUUCAAACACUUAUAUGGAUCUGAGGGAGUAGUUUAGAAUGAUUUCUGACUGAUUAUGCUAGAAAGUUUAUCUCAUCUGUCUCUCUGGAGCACGAUUUCGAGGCGUAAGUUUUAACCAUGCACAUAAUGCCUUUUAGUUAAGAAAACAGUGCAGCCUCCAAUUGUUAUUACUGAUUGAUUACAUUAGAAAUUUUAUCUCUUCUAUCUGUAUUAAGCACAAUUCUGAGAUGUAGGUUUUCAGUUUUAACCAUGCCCAUACCUCAUACCGCCUUCAGCUUUUUUCGUGUUGCAGAAAGGAGCAUGGCCUCAUAAUAGUUAAAUUAAGAAAAAACUCUGCUGCCCCCAACUGUUCUGAUAUGCCGGUUGGGUUAGAGUUUUUAGUGCUGACUUUUAGAAAGUUCGUACUAUCUGUUGGAAGCACAAUUUUGAGAUUUAUGUCUCUUUAAUCAUACCGUGCCUUCAGAUGUUCUCUUCCCGAACGUACUGUUAUUUCUUGAAAUAAAGCUACAUGUGAAGGUUCAGUUCUUGUUGUAAAUGUCUUUGUUAGGAUCUUCUUGGUAUCGGCCAUAACCAUCCAUAAUGAGGCAUUGGUUCCAGGUCUGAUUGAGAUAUCCAACUCUUCCGUCCUGCUAAACUGAAGACUGUAUAAAGCGAAAAUUAUAAUGUGAGGUAAAACUAAAGAUUGUACCAGGGAUAGAGCACGACAAUACGAGAUGUGAGCUGAUGGAACACACUUGCAGACUGCAAUACAAAUACAACAUCUCGUUUUCGAUACUCUGGAAAAGAAUGUUGCGUUGACUUUUGCAUUGCUAGCUAACAUACAUUCUGCAUAUAAGAAAACUUUCAGUAGUAGCAAACAUGAGGCUAUCUAGCUAUACAUACAGCUCCCAUAUAUGGUGGCGCAAUUUCAGUAACAAACAUGAGGCUGCCACUUGCUACCUCAGCCAUUGUAAGUUGGUACACCUAAAUUUACGUACGCCAUGAGGAUGAUGAAGAUGUUAGAAGUGGUUGUCUUACCUCAGCCAUUAAACAAUGAUGUUGU